GAUGAAGAACGUAGCGAAAUGCGAUAAGUAAUGUGAAUUGCAGAAUUUAGUGAAUCAUCGAAUCUUUGAACGCAUAUUGCGCCCGCCAGCACUCUGGCGGGCAUGCCUGUUCGAGCGUCAUUUCAACCCUCAGGCCUCGCGUCUGGCGUUGGGGCGCUGCGGCCCUCCCGCAGGCCCCCAAAUUUAGCGGCGGAUUCCCCGCGGCCCUGAGCACAGUAGAGAGUAAAAACUUUAACGCUCCGGCGGCCGUGGCGCGGUUCUGCCUCUUUCCCAAUAGCGCCAAUAGCGCCACCCCCAAAAAAGUUGACCUCGGAUCAGGUAGGACUACCCGCUGAACUUAAGCAUAUCAAUAAGCGGAGGA
rnacentral:misc_RNA from 1 species